CUCUCUCUACACUGUGUCUGUCUGGUUUUCAGGGCACCUUUAUUUUUUUAUUUCUCUCAAACGCACAGGCUCAAAUAUCCAGACAAAGAUGCAAGGUGGUUGCUGCAGUCACUGUCUUUGGGAAAAAAGCUCAUCAUUGCAAUGCCAUUUUUUCACUCGGGCUCGGUGGUUAAACUUCCCCAGGAUGGAGCUGGAAAAGGAGCUGGAAAUAAACAGGAUUGGGGGAGAUCACAUUGCUGCAGCUGCAGCCAGCGGUGGCCACUGCCAGACGUGACCGGGUUUCUGGGGUCCUUGACAUUAAAAAGCAACGUGAGAAAAUAUUCGGAGACAAAAGCUGCAGCCUAAAUGAUAAUUUUCUUUAUUUAACAUGGCAGCAGGCGCCGUGCGUGGGGAGGAUCAACAUGCUGCAUGUUCAGUUGGACUUCUCUCCCUGGCUCCCUUCGAGGAUGAAAGGAGAUAAUGUAAUCUAUCCUGUGCCAAAUAGGGACCCGAGGGCUGGCCUUACAGGUGUGUGACAUGGGCGACCAUCCAGGGCUCCGCAGUCGGAGGGCGGUGGGCGCCAUCUGAGUGCCAGAAGCUGCGUGCCUGGGCUGCUGGAGUGGGAGCAAUGAACAUAUGGCUGUUUCUAUUAGUGCUAGUGUAUUUUCAGCGAUGCCUGUCAACAUCCACCAGAGAGCAGGGCAGCUCCAAUACCUACAUCUUUUAUGCUGUAGAAAUCAAUGGGGACAGUAACACAGCCAGCUUCUUGACCAAACAACAUGGAUUGCAGUUCAUUUCAAAGGUUCAACACUACAUGUGAUACCAAGAUGGCCAGCAAUGGAACAAUGGUGGUGGCUUGCAAUGGAUGUGAUGUGUUCUCUCUCCUGCCUCAACACAGAAAGUGUGCAGAAGUGCAGGUUGGUGGCUGUGCUGGAGGAAAAGAUUCUUGGAUUGGAGGGGCAAGUGGAAACACUACUAAGAAUCAGAGAAGCCAUGUUUGGGAAAUACCAGUACCCCAGGUUCAAGGAAGAAUGGUGCUGGGAACAAAGGAAUCAGAGAGAGAGGAAAUCAGAGCACAGGCCUGGGAGUUCAUAACCACCACAGGCAAGAGGUCAUGGCAGCAUUCUACACACUGGAGACAGAUAAGAAAGAUGGACCGUUCACACAGUAUCUAUCCAGCUGACCGGCUUUCCGCAACGGAUUCACUCCAGUAUGGAGUACACUGGUGCUAUUGUGUCUGCUGGAUCUGUGGGGAGAGGAGACUUUGUAGUUGCAGCUUCGCUGAAGCCAUAGGAUCUUUGGGCAGAUUGCUUGUGCCAUGCAGGAGAAGGGACUUGAAAGGGACAUGAAGCAGUGCUAAAAUCAAAGAGCUUAGGCAGGCGUACCAGAAGGCAAGGGAGGCCAACUGUCUCUCUGGUGCAGCACUGAAGGAGCUGGAUGCCAUCCUCACUGGUGACUUCACUGCCACCACCAAGAGCCCCAUGGAUAGUUCAGGGAGACGGAGGCAGUGGCCAGCGGAGUCAACCCUGAGGAUGAAGAGGUGAAAGAGGAAGUGGAGUUGGGAGGAGGAUGUGGGACAUGCGACAGGGUCAUCCGGUGGUGUGGCAAGCCAGGGCCUAUUUCUGAUGCUGGAGAGGUCUAGCCAGUCCCAACCCUCUGGCUCUGAUGCUCAUGAAGCAGGAGAGACAAACUCUGGUAAACAUGCAUUUUGCUUCGAUACUGCAUGGUGAUAGGAGAUUGAGGUCUCGUUUACUUUGUUAUAUGGUAGAGGAGGGAUAACAGAUAGAAAUUAACAGAGCCUGUGCAGCUACGCAGUGCGGGCCCGGUGGAAAAGUUUGUUAAUGUAAUGUCCCGGAAUCCUCCAUCUCUAGGAAAUUCCGUGUAGGUACUCAGCAAUCCCCUGCCGAAGGUUCCUUGGCAGAGCUCCCUUGUUUCUCCCCUCACUGUAGGAAUCUUUGCUGUGCCAACCAGCAAUUGUUUCUGCAGGGACCAAGGCGGCACACAGACAAGCAGCAUACGGACUUGGUCUGAAGCUGCACGCAUGCAGGAGUUGCAUCCUGGGUUACCCUUAGGAGUGAGAUAUCAGGUUCGAAUACCCGAGCCUGUGGAAAAUGGUGCCAAUAUUCUCCCUAGGCACAUGUAGUGACCCUCUUCCCAAACUACCCAGCCCCUUUGUCCCUU